rnacentral:rRNA from 1 species
GGCUAACGGAGUCUUCGUGACUAGCGGCGAAUGGGUGAGUAACACGUGCUUAAUCUACCUUUUAGAUUGGGAUACCCAAUGGAAACAUUGGUUAAUACCGGAUACGCAGAGAAUCGCAUGAUUCUUUUGUGAAAGGAGCCUUAAAGCUCCACUAGAAGAUGAGGGUGCGGAACAUUAGUUAGUUGGKGAGGUAAUGGCUCACCAAGACUAUGAUGUUUAGCCGGGUCGAGAGACUGAACGGCCACAUUGGGACUGAGAUACGGCCCAAACUCCUACGGGAGGCAGCAGUAGGGAAUAUUCCACAAUGAGCGAAAGCUUGAUGGAGCGACACAGCGUGCACGAUGACGGUCUUCGGAUUGUAAAGUGCUGUUAUAAGGAAAGAAYACUUCAAUGAGGAAAUGCUUUGAAGCUGACGGUACCUUAUCAGAAAGCGAUGGCUAACUAUGUGCCAGCAGCCGCGGUAAUACAUAGGUCGCAAGCGUUAUCCGGAAUUAUUGGGCGUAAAGCGUUCGUAGGUUGUUUAUUAAGUCUGAAGUCAAAUCCCAGGGCUCAACCCUGGCUCGCUUUGGAUACUGGUAAACUAGAGUUAGAUAGAGGUAAGCGGAAUUCCAUGUGAAGCGGUGAAAUGCGUAGAUAUAUGGAAGAACACCAAAGGCGAAGGCAGCUUACUGGGUCUAUACUGACACUGAGGGACGAAAGCGUGGGGAGCAAACAGGAUUAGAUACCCUGGUAGUCCACGCCGUAAACGAUGAUCAUUAGUCGGUGGAGAAUCACUGACGCAGCUAACGCAUUAAAUGAUCCGCCUGAGUAGUAUGCUCGCAAGAGUGAAACUUAAAGGAAUUGACGGGGACCCGCACAAGCGGUGGAGCAUGUGGUUUAAUUUGAAGAUACACGGAGAACCUUACCCACUCUUGACAUCCUUCGCAAAGCUAUAGAGAUAUAGUGGAGGUUAACAGAGUGAAGAA